rnacentral:rRNA from 1 species
AGCGAACGCUGGCGGCAGGCUUAACACAUGCAAGUCGAACGCCCCGCAAGGGGAGAGGCAGACGGGUGAGUAACACGUGGGAACGUACCCUUUGGUUCGGAAUAACUUGGGGAAACUCAAGCUCAUACCGGAUAAGCCCUUAUGGGGAAAGGUUUACUGCCGAAGGAUCGGCCCGCGUCUGAUUAGCUAGUUGGUGAGGUAACGGCUCACCAAGGCGACGAUCAGUAGCUGGUCUAAGAGGAUGAUCAGCCACAAUGGGACUGAGACACGGCCCAGACUCCUACGGGAGGCAGCAGUGGGGAAUAUUGGACAAUGGGGGCAACCCUGAUCCAGCCAUGCCGCGUGAGUGAUGAAGGCCUUAGGGUUGUAAAGCUCUUUUACCCGGGACGAUAAUGACUGUACCGGGAGAAUAAGCCCCGGCUAACUUCGUGCCAGCAGCCGCCGUAA